GCACAAGAAAUCCGGAUCCUGCUGGUGUGGUAUACUCCCUCCAUACCUCCUGGGCGAGUGGGGUGUUUUCACAUAGGAUGUCGUUCUAUACUCGCUGGGGAGUAUUUGGACGCGUUUGCCCCCGGCAUACAUUUCGGCUGCCAUUCCGCUGGUCAAAGCAUUAAUCGCAGCGCUUCGUUUCACUCAUCUCCCUUCCUCGCCGCACUGCAGC
rnacentral:lncRNA from 1 species